UUCAGAUCUCUGCUUGCUAUUUUUCAUUGCUGAGAGAAAAAGAAUCGGAUGAAGGUGCUCCAUCGGUUGUUUUAGGAAGAAGAAGAGAGAGCCCAGGAACUUGGAGCUAGCUGCGUAUUGGACAUGAAGGAAGCAAUCUGGUUAUAUUUCUUCUGCACAUCUCUUGUCAUUUGUAUAUUGAAAAAAAAAAAAAAAGAAAUAAACCUAGAAUACAGAAUUCUUUCAGGAGGGUUUCAAUCUCUGGUUUUAC
rnacentral:misc_RNA from 1 species